rnacentral:rRNA from 1 species
UACGUAGGGUGCGAGCGUUGUCCGGAAUUACUGGGCGUAAAGGGUGCGUAGGUGGUUUCUUAAGUCAGAGGUGAAAGGCUACGGCUCAACCGUAGUAAGCCUUUGAAACUGAGAAACUUGAGUGCAGGAGAGGAGAGUAGAAUUCCUAGUGUAGCGGUGAAAUGCGUAGAUAUUAGGAGGAACACCAGUAGCGAAGGCGGCUUUCUGGACUGUAACUGACACUGAGGCACGAAAGCGUGGGGAGCAAACAGGAUUAGAUACCCUGGUAGUCCCUGA